GUCCAUGCCGUAAACGAUGAACACUAGGUUUUGAGCCCGUCAACGGCUCGGAGCCGCAGCUAACGCGUUAAGUGUUCCGCCUGGGGAGUACGCUCGCAAGGGUGAAACUCAAAGGAAUUGACGGGGCCCGCACAAGCGGUGGAGCAUGUGGUUUAAUUCGACGCAACGCGAAGAACCUUACCAGGGCUUGACAUGGGAAAGACAGGACGAGAGAUCGUCCCUCUCUAGCAAUAGAGCUUUCUACACAGGUGCUGCAUGGCUGUCGU
rnacentral:rRNA from 1 species